GGCAAGAUGGCCGAGCGGUCUAAGGCGCCAGCUUCAGGUUCAACUUGACUCUGCUGGUGUGGAAACACCCGCGAGUUCGAAUCUCGUUCUUGUCA
rnacentral:tRNA from 1 species